AUUGAACGCUGGCAGCAGGCCUAACACAUGCAAGUCGAACGGUAACAGGAAGAAGCUUGCUUCUUUGCUGACGAGUGGCGGACGGGUGAGUAAUGUCUGGGAAACUGCCUGAUGGAGGGGGAUAACUACUGGAAACGGUAGCUAAUACCGCAUAACGUCGCAAGACCAAAGAGGGGGACCUUCGGGCCUCUUGCCAUCGGAUGUGCCCAGAUGGGAUUAGCUAGUAGGUGGGGUAACGGCUCACCUAGGCGACGAUCCCUAGCUGGUCUGAGGGGAUGACCAGCCACACUGGAACUGAGACACGGUCCAGACUCCUACGGGAGGCAGCAGUGGGGAAUAUUGCACAAUGGGCGCAAGCCUGAUGCAGCCAUGCCGCGUGUAUGAAGAAGGCCUUCGGGUUGUAAAGUACUUUCAGCGGGGAGGAAGGGAGUAAAGUUAAUACCUUUGCUCAUUGACGUUACCCGCAGAAGAAGCACCGGCUAACUCCGUG
rnacentral:rRNA from 1 species